rnacentral:rRNA from 1 species
UAUAAGUGCGAACGAACUCUGGUAUUGAUUGGUGCUUGCAUCAUGAUUUACAUUUGAGUGAGUGGCGAACUGGUGAGUAACACGUGGGAAACCUGCCCAGAAGCGGGGGAUAACACCUGGAAACAGAUGCUAAUACCGCAUAACAACUUGGACCGCAUGGUCCGAGUUUGAAAGAUGGCUUCGGCUAUCACUUUUGGAUGGUCCCGCGGCGUAUUAGCUAGAUGGUGAGGUAACGGCUCACCAUGGCAAUGAUACGUAGCCGACCUGAGAGGGUAAUCGGCCACAUUGGGACUGAGACACGGCCCAAACUCCUACGGGAGGCAGCAGUAGGGAAUCUUCCACAAUGGACGAAAGUCUGAUGGAGCAACGCCGCGUGAGUGAAGAAGGGUUUCGGCUCGUAAAACUCUGUUGUUAAAGAAGAACAUAUCUGAGAGUAACUGUUCAGGUAUUGACGGUAUUUAACCAGAAAGCCACGGCUAACUACGUGCCAGCAGCCGCGGUAAUACGUAGGUGGCAAGCGUUGUCCGGAUUUAUUGGGCGUAAAGCGAGCGCAGGCGGUUUUUUAAGUCUGAUGUGAAAGCCUUCGGCUCAACCGAAGAAGUGCAUCGGAAACUGGGAAACUUGAGUGCAGAAGAGGACAGUGGAACUCCAUGUGUAGCGGUGAAAUGCGUAGAUAUAUGGAAGAACACCAGUGGCGAAGGCGGCUGUCUGGUCUGUAACUGACGCUGAGGCUCGAAAGUAUGGGUAGCAAACAGGAUUAGAUACCCUGGUAGUCCAUACCGUAAACGAUGAAUGCUAAGUGUUGGAGGGUUUCCGCCCUUCAGUGCUGCAGCUAACGCAUUAAGCAUUCCGCCUGGGGAGUACGGCCGCAAGGCUGAAACUCAAAGGAAUUGACGGGGGCCCGCACAAGCGGUGGAGCAUGUGGUUUAAUUCGAAGCUACGCGAAGAACCUUACCAGGUCUUGACAUACUAUGCAAAUCUAAGAGAUUAGACGUUCCCUUCGGGGACAUGGAUACAGGUGGUGCAUGGUUGUCGUCAGCUCGUGUCGUGAGAUGUUGGGUUAAGUCCCGCAACGAGCGCAACCCUUAUUAUCAGUUGCCAGCAUUAAGUUGGGCACUCUGGUGAGACUGCCGGUGACAAACCGGAGGAAGGUGGGGAUGACGUCAAAUCAUCAUGCCCCUUAUGACCUGGGCUACACACGUGCUACAAUGGAUGGUACAACGAGUUGCGAACUCGCGAGAGUAAGCUAAUCUCUUAAAGCCAUUCUCAGUUCGGAUUGUAGGCUGCAACUCGCCUACAUGAAGUCGGAAUCGCUAGUAAUCGCGGAUCAGCAUGCCGCGGUGAAUACGUUCCCGGGCCUUGUACACACCGCCCGUCACACCAUGAGAGUUUGUAACACCCAAAGUCGGUGGGGUAUCCGUAUAUCGUACAAGGA